CCUACGGGAGGCAGCAGUGGGGAAUAUUGGGCAAUGGGCGCAAGCCUGACCCAGCAACGCCGCGUGAAGGAAGAAGGCUUUCGGGUUGUAAACUUCUUUUCUCAGGGACGAAGCAAGUGACGGUACCUGAGGAAUAAGCCACGGCUAACUACGUGCCAGCAGUCGCGGUAAUACGUAGGUGGCAAGGGUUAUCCGGAUUUACUGGGUGUAAAGGGCGAGUAGGCGGGAAAGCAAGUCAGAUGUGAAAACCAUGGGCUCAACCUGUGGCCUGCAUUUGAAACUGUUUUUCUUGAGUACUGGAGAGGCAGACGGAAUUCCUAGUGUAGCGGUGAAAUGCGUAGAUAUUAGGAGGAACACCAGUGGCGAAGGCGGUCUGCUGGACAGCAACUGACGCUGAGGCGCGAAAGCGUGGGGAGCAAACAGGAUUAGAUACCCGUGUAGUC
rnacentral:rRNA from 1 species